UACAGAUAUUUACAUAUUAAUUAAUACUGACGUGUAUUAAAAUAAUAAAUCAUCACAUUUUUAUACGCGUCUGCUCAUUCGCAUUUUUCUUGACUGUUUAAUUAUCAUUAUUUUUUAUAUACAAUAAAUAUUUUUUUUUCAUACGAUAUAAAAACAUUUACGCAAUGAAAUAAAUAGCCAUGAAUUAUUCUCACAAGUAACCAGUCAAAUCGCAAGCAUAUACAUAUAGCAGUAAUUUCCCUGAGCAGAAAUAAAAUAAAAAAAAAAAUAUCAAAAAUGAACUGGAUUGUUUUGGCCGCUGUUGCCGUCAACGUUUUGAUGUUUGUUGAAA